rnacentral:rRNA from 1 species
AGUGAACGCUGGCGGCAGGCCUAAUACAUGCAAGUCGAACGGCAGCACAGCAGAGCUUGCUCUGUGGGUGGCGAGUGGCGGACGGGUGAGGAAUACAUGGGAAUCUGCCCAGUCGUGGGGGAUAACGUAUGGAAACGUACGCUAAUACCGCAUGCGCCCUACGGGGGAAAGUCGGGGACCGCAAGGCCUGACGCGAUUGGAUGAGCCCAUGUUCGAUUAGCUAGUUGGCGGGGUAAAGGCCCACCAAGGCGACGAUCGAUAGCUGGUCUGAGAGGAUGAUCAGCCACACUGGAACUGAGACACGGUCCAGACUCCUACGGGAGGCAGCAGUAGGGAAUAUUGGACAAUGGGGGCAACCCUGAUCCAGCAACGCCGCGUGGAGGAUGAAGGUCUUUGGAUUGUAAACUCCUUUUGCAGGGGAAGAGUGAGGACGGUACCCUGAGAAUAAGUCACGGCUAACUACGUGCCAGCAGCCGCGGUAA